AUACGACUCUAUUACUAAAUUGCAUUUGUAGGUUUCACAUAAAUCGGACAACGAAUUCACUGCGCUUUAGUGACAUUUCGAGUGGACGGGGGUGGAUGUUAAACGGUAGGGUUUUUUUUUCUAUCUCAAAUUGUCCCCAUAUACUACAACAUUUAUAAACGUUUGGAAAUAGGUGCUAUUUUAACGAAGUAUACGAAAAUUCCGACACAGAUACACUAAUUUUGUUUUGUACCUACGAACUAGUUUUACAAUACUGACAUCCAUGUUAAUAUUAAUAAUAAUUUUUAGUUCUGUACAUAUUUUUAAAUUAGAAGCU